AUUGAACGCUGGCGGCAGGCCUAACACAUGCAAGUCGAGCGGUAGAGAGGUGCUUGCAUCUCUUGAGAGCGGCGGACGGGUGAGUAAUGCCUAGGAAUCUGCCUAGUGGUGGGGGAUAACGUUCGGAAACGGACGCUAAUACCGCAUACGUCCUACGGGAGAAAGCGGGGGGAUCUUCGGACCUCGCGCCAUUAGAUGAGCCUAGGUCGGAUUAGCUAGUUGGUGAGGUAAUGGCUCACCAAGGCGACGAUCCGUAACUGGUCUGAGAGGAUGAUCAGUCACACUGGAACUGAGACACGGUCCAGACUCCUACGGGAGGCAGCAGUGGGGAAUAUUGGACAAUGGGCGAAAGCCUGAUCCAGCCAUGCCGCGUGUGUGAAGAAGGUCUUCGGAUUGUAAAGCACUUUAAGUUGGGUAGGAAGGGUAGUAACCUAAUACGUUGCUACUUUGACGUUACCGACAGAAUAAGACACCGGCUAACUUCGUGCCAGCAG
rnacentral:rRNA from 1 species